rnacentral:rRNA from 1 species
CAAUAGCGUAUAUUAAAGUUGUUGCAGUUAGAACGCUCGUAGUCGGAUUUCGGGGCGAGCCUUCCGGUCUGCCGAUGGGUACGCACUGGUCGGCGCGUCCUUCCUUCCGGAGACCGUGCCUACUCUUAACUGAGCGGGGGCGGGAGACGGAACGUUUACUUUGAAAAAAUCAGAGUGUUUCAAGCAGGCAGCUUGCUCUUGCAUGGAUUAGCAUGGGAUAAUGAAAUAGGACUUUGGUGCUAUUUUGUUGGUUUCGAACACCGAAGUAAUGAUGAGAAGGGACAGUCAGGGGCACUCGUAUUCCGCCGAGAGAGGUGAAAUUCUCAGACCAGCGGAAGACGAACCACUGCGAAAGCAUUUGCCAGGGAUGUUUNCACUGA